CGCAGCCGCGGUAAUUCCAGCUCCAAUAGCGUAUAUUAAAGUUGUUGCAGUUAAAAAGCUCGUAGUUGAAUUUCGGGAUCAAUGUUUCGGUCAUGCCCUUGGUAUGUACUGAUAUUAUUGGUUUCUCACCUUCUAAAGAACCGUAAUGCCAUUAAUUUGGUGUCACGGGGAAUUAGGACUGUUACCUUGAAAAAAUUAGAGUGUUUAAAGCAGGCUCACGCUUGAAUACAUUAGCAUGGAAUAAUGAAAUAGGACAUCCGAUUCUAUUUUGUUGGUUUCUAGGAUCGAUGUAAUGAUUAAUAGGGAUAGUUGGGGGCAUUAGUAUUCAAUUGUCAGAGGUGAAAUUCUUGGAUUUAUUGAAGACUAACUACUGCGAAAGCAUUUGCCAAGGAUGUUUUCAUUAAUCAAGAACGAAAGUUAGGGGAUCGAAGACGAUCAGAUACCGUCGUAGUCUUAACCAUAAACUAUGCCGACUAGGGAUCGGAUGAUGUUAAUUUUUUAAUGACUCA
rnacentral:rRNA from 1 species